rnacentral:tRNA from 1 species
GAGGGUAGAGCUCAGUGGUAGAGUGUGUGCUUAGCAUGCACAAGGUCCUAGGUUCAGUCCCUAGUACCUCCA